UGUUAAGCAAGAUGUGAAAGCCCGGGGCUCAACCUCGGAACAGCAUUUUGAACUGGCAGACUAGAGUACUGUAGAGGGGGGUAGAAUUUCAGGUGUAGCGGUGAAAUGCGUAGAGAUCUGAAGGAAUACCGGUGGCGAAGGCGGCCCCCUGGACAGAUACUGACACUCAGAUGCGAAAGCGUGGGGAGCAAACAGGAUUAGAUACCCUGGUAGUCCACGCCGUAAACGAUGUCUACUUGGAGGUUGUGGCCUUGAGCCGUGGCUUUCGGAGCUAACGCGUUAAGUAGACCGCCUGGGGAGUACGGUCGCAAGAUUAAAACUCAAAUGAAUUGACGGGGGCCCGCACAAGCGGUGGAGCAUGUGGUUUAAUUCGAUGCAACGCGAAGAACCUUACCUACUCUUGACAUCCAGAGAACUUUCCAGAGAUGGAUUGGUGCCUUCGGGAACUCUGAGACAGGUGCUGCAUGGCUGUCGUCAGCUCGUGUUGUGAAAUGUUGGGUUAAGUCCCGCAACGAGCGCAACCCUUAUCCUUGUUUGCCAGCAC
rnacentral:rRNA from 1 species